rnacentral:rRNA from 1 species
UACGAAGGGGGCUAGCGUUGCUCGGAAUUACUGGGCGUAAAGGGCGCGUAGGCGGCGCUGUUAGUCAGGCGUGAAAUUCCUGGGCUCAACCUGGGGACUGCGCUUGAUACGGCAGUGCUUGAGGAUGGAAGAGGCUCGCGGAAUUCCCAGUGUAGAGGUGAAAUUCGUAGAUAUUGGGAAGAACACCGGUGGCGAAGGCGGCUCACUGGCCCGGUACUGACGCUGAGGUGCGAAAGCGUGGGGAGCAAACAGG